AUACAGAGGGUGCGAGCGUUAAUCGGAUUUACUGGGCGUAAAGCGUGCGUAGGCGGCCAUUUAAGUCAAAUGUGAAAUCCCCGAGCUUAACUUGGGAAUUGCAUUCGAUACUGGAUGGCUAGAGUAUGGGAGAGGAUGGUAGAAUUCCAGGUGUAGCGGUGAAAUGCGUAGAGAUCUGGAGGAAUACCGAUGGCGAAGGCAGCCAUCUGGCCUAAUACUGACGCUGAGGUACGAAAGCAUGGGGAGCAAACAGGAUUAGAAACCCUAGUAGUCC
rnacentral:rRNA from 1 species